GGGUGUCGUAGAAAAAUGUUACUUCGAAUGAUAAUCGGCAGGUCGGAGGUUCGAAUCCUUCUCAUACUCA
rnacentral:tRNA from 1 species